CGGGAAGGAGCGAGGCCGGGAGGAGGGGGCUCCGCCAGGUGAGAGCCCUUCUCCGCUCCAGGGGAGGAGGGCAGGGCCUGGACGGUCGCCUGGCGGGUGCCAUUGGGGAGACAGAAGAGACCCCAGCUCAGCACAGGCACCCCAAGACAGUCCAAGAAAGUAGAUCCUCUAUUCAAGGCUGGAGAACAACACAGACCCACCUGGCCCAACAAAAGGAUUUUGCAGGUGCCCGGGGAAGCCUGGGGAAGGAAUCUGAAAGGGACAUCGUGGGCUCUGCCUGGAUGCGUGGAGGGAAAGUUUACAGGAGGAAGGAUCAUGACAGCCGGGGUUUUGAAGGCUACAUACAAGUUCACCAGAGAGACACUGAGUGGACUCACUUUUUAUCUGUGAAUUCAGUAGACGUUCCCUUCCUCCCCGUG
rnacentral:lncRNA from 1 species